rnacentral:rRNA from 1 species
UCCAAUUGAAGCAGAGGACAGUGGCGGACGGGUGAGUAACGCGUGAGGAACCUGCCUUUCAGAGGGGGACAACAGUUGGAAACGACUGCUAAUACCGCAUGACACAUUGGGGUCGCAUGGCCUUAAUGUCAAAGAUUUAUCGCUGAAAGAUGGCCUCGCGUCUGAUUAGCUAGUUGGUGAGGUAACGGCUCACCAAGUCGACGAUCGGUAGCCGGACUGAGAGGUUGAACGGCCACAUUGGGACUGAGACACGGCCCAGACUCC